rnacentral:tRNA from 1 species
GUCUCCAUAGUUUAAUGGACAGAACGGUUGCCUCCUAAGCAACAGAUUCCGGUUCGAAUCCGGGUGGGGACA